rnacentral:rRNA from 1 species
AUGCUUGUGCCGCAGGGCAUCAACAUGAAGGAGAUCACGAAGAAGAAGAAGAAGAAGAAGAAGAAGAAGAAGAAGAAGCCGUCGGUUGUCGUCAGUGCUGGCGAGACCGAUGAGGAGGCGAUGGCGAGGUUUGCUCGGGAGCAUCCGGAGUACGUCCAGGCCGAGAUGGAGUACUACUGGAAGCGUGAGGCGGAGCAGAAGAAGAAGGGGCCGAAGGAGGAUGAGGCCGGUCCCUCGACGGUGAUCCCCAUCGAGUCCUCUUCCGAGGAGGACUGGGAAGACUUCUCGGAGGAGGAGGGGUGCGACGACCCGACGAAGCAGGAGUUCUGGGAGCAGUUCCGUAGCUCCGAUGAGGAGUAG